rnacentral:rRNA from 1 species
GACGAACGCUGGCGGCGUGCUUAACACAUGCAAGUCGUGCGAGGAUGUGAUUGGAAGGUCUUCGGACCGGAAGAUCAUAUCCGAGCGGCGGACGGGUGAGUAACGCGUGAGCAACCUGCCUUCAACGGGGGGAUAACGCAUCGAAAGAUGUGCUAAUACCGCGUAAGACCACAGCAUCACAUGGUGCAGGGGUCAAAGGAGCAAUCCGGUUGAAGAUGGGCUCGCGUCCGAUUAGCCAGUUGGUGAGGUAACGGCCCACCAAAGCGACGAUCGGUAGCCGACCUGAGAGGGUGAUCGGCCACAUUGGAACUGAGACACGGUCCAGACUCCUACGGGAGGCAGCAGUGGGGAAUAUUGGGCAAUGGGCGAAAGCCUGACCCAGCAACGCCGCGUGAGGGAAGAAGGGUUUCGGCUCGUAAACCUCUGUCCUAAAGGGCGAAAGAAAUGACGGUACUUUAGGAGGAAGCCCCGGCUAACUACGUGCCAGCCGCCGCGGUAAUAC